CCUACGGGAGGCAGCAGUGGGGAAUAUUGGGCAAUGGGCGCAAGCCUGACCCAGCAACGCCGCGUGAAGGAAGAAGGCUUUCGGGUUGUAAACUUCUUUUGACAGGGAAGAGCAGAAGACGGUACCUGUCGAAUAAGCCACGGCUAACUACGUGCCAGCAGCCGCGGUAAUACGUAGGUGGCAAGCGUUGUCCGGAUUUACUGGGGGUAAAGGGCGUGUAGCCGGGCUGACAAGUCAGAUGUGAAAUCCGGGGGCUCAACCCCCGAACUGCAUUUGAAACGGUUGGGCUUGAGUAUCGGAGAGGCGGGCGGAAUUCCUAGUGUAGCGGUGAAAUGCGUAGAUAUUAGGAGGAACACCAGUGGCGAAGGCGGCCUGCUGGACGACAACUGACGGUGAGGCGCGAAAGCGUGGGGAGCAAACAGGAUUAGAUACCCGUGUAGUC
rnacentral:rRNA from 1 species